UUUGUUGACAAGCCAAUGCCUCUUGGCACUAAAAGCAGCGAAUGGAGUGGUCUCAGGAUCCCCUCAAAAGGGCCCUCCUCCGUGUCAGUGGACCUGCAGGGAGACAGCUCCUUACAGGUGGAGAUCUCUGAUGCAGUGAGCGAGCGGGACAAGGUGAAGUUCACCGUUCAAACCAAGAGCUGCCUCCCUCACUUCACCCAGUUGGAGUUCUCAGUUGUGCGACAGCACGAGGAGUUCAUCUGGCUACAUGAUGCCUAUGUGGAAAAUGAGGAGUACGCCGGUCUCAUUAUCCCCCCAGCCCCUCCAAGGCCAGACUUUGAGGCUUCAAGGGAAAAGCUGCAGAAGUUGGGUGAGGGGGACAGCUCCAUCACGAGGGAAGAGUUUGCCAAAAUGAAGCAGGAGCUGGAAGCGGAGUAUCUCGCCAUCUUUAAGAAGACAGUUGCAAUGCAUGAGGUCUUUCUGCAGCGCCUGGCGGCCCACCCUACCCUGCGCCGAGACCACAACUUCUUUGUCUUUUUGGAAUAUGGCCAGGAUCUGAGUGUCCGAGGAAAGAACAGGAAGGAGCUCCUUGGGGGAUAUCUGAGGAAUAUAGUUAAAUCUGCAGAUGAAGCCCUCAUCACCAGGAUGUCAGGGCUCAAGGAGGUGGAUGACUUCUUUGAGCAUGAGAGGACCUUCCUGCUGGAGUACCACACCCGCAUCCGGGACGCCUGCCUGCGAGCAGACCGUGUCAUGUACUCCCACAAGUGCCUGGCAGACGAUUAUAUUCCUAUCUCUGCUGCACUGAAUAGUCUGGGAGUACAAGAAGUCAACCAGCUGAAGAUGAGCUUCCUCAAAUUGGCAGAAUUCUUCGAAAGGCUAAGGAAGCUGGAGGGCCGAGUGGCAUCUGAUGAGGACCUUAAGCUGUCAGACAUGCUGAGAUACUACAUGCGAGACUCACAGGCAGCCAAGGACUUGCUGUACCGGCGGCUCCGAGCACUGGCUGACUAUGAGAACGCCAACAAGGCACUGGACAAAGCACGCACCAGGAACCGGGAAGUGCGGACUGCUGAGAGCCACCAGCAACGGUGCUGCCAACGCUUUGAGCGCCUCUCCGACUCAGCCAAGCAGGAGCUCAUGGAUUUCAAGUCCCGCCGGGUCAUCUCCUUCCGCAAGAACCUCAUAGAGUUGGCAGAGCUGGAGCUCAAACACGCCAAGGCCAGCACCCUGCUUCUCUGGAACACCCUUCUCACCCUCAAGGGGGAGCCUUAGAACUGCCAGAGCCUGCUGUGGGGCCUUUGGAGGCAAAAGUCCCCCAGAUUUCCCACAAGAUGCCACGUUCCCCACCACAGCAGCCACUAGCCAUGCCCCAUCAUCUCCCAGGGCAAGCCCAAGCCCCACCCCCCACCCAAAGGUGCCAGGUCUUUCAAGAGGAAGAUAGGGCAACAUGGGUACCAGACUUGGCCACAGGGAGGUGGAACCCAAGACACUUGGGUCUGAAGUCCUGGGCUCCACCUGACUCAGCCCCACCCUGGACUCCAGUCACAUCUGCAGAAGGCCAAAGGCUCUACUUGGCUUCUGACUCAUAGAAGCAACUGGACCCGGCCCUCUUAGAGGAGUCAGUCAUCCAUGAAAGCAAGCAGACGAAAACCAAAGAGAACCCCAAAGACAGAAGAGUUCAAGAGGAACUCUGUAACUUGCAGUCUCACAGCCUACCAUCAGGCAGGGGGUCGGAGAAUAGGCCUCACUGCCCAGCUGUCCACCUGGGUAAGAAGUUACAGGGGAAAGAGUUCAGGCAAAACACUUCUGCCCAAAGGGCUCUUGCAGCCAGCAGCAGACACACCCUCAUUCAGCUGCCUCCUAAAUAGUUUGACCCCAACUGAGGCACCACCUAUGAGUGGUGACCAUCAGGAGACUCAGCCGAUCUCUGGGGCCCAAUGAACGGGGUGGAUGGAGGCCAUGUGUAGAGGAGAUAGAUGCUGCUCAUUACCUCAGCAGACCUUCCCCCGCAAGAUCCCUUGGGCCCCAACCCUGAAACAAACAUCCCAUUAGUGAGCCUUUUUA